rnacentral:rRNA from 1 species
AACGAACGCUGGCGGCAUGCCUAACACAUGCAAGUCGAACGAGACCUUCGGGUCUAGUGGCGCACGGGUGCGUAACGCGUGGGAAUCUGCCCUUGGGUUCGGAAUAACUUCGGGAAACUGAAGCUAAUACCGGAUGAUGACGUAAGUCCAAAGAUUUAUCGCCCAAGGAUGAGCCCGCGUAGGAUUAGCUAGUUGGUGAGGGAAAGGCUCACCAAGGCGACGAUCCUUAGCUGGUCUGAGAGGAUGAUCAGCCACACUGGGACUGAGACACGGCCCAGACUCCUACGGGAGGCAGCAGUGGGGAAUAUUGGACAAUGGGCGAAAGCCUGAUCCAGCAAUGCCGCGUGAGUGAUGAAGGCCUUAGGGUUGUAAAGCUCUUUUACCCGGGAUGAUAAUGACAGUACCGGGAGAAUAAGCUCCGGCUAACUCCGUGCCAGCCGCCGCCGUAA